GCAACUGCUUCAGUGACUGUGAGGGAAGACGUGUUGUGGGACAUAAGAGGAAGGGGAGUGUGUCCCUUUUGACUCUCUGUUAAUAACUUAGACGGUGGUAUACUUCUGUGCCAAGAUGGUAAUUGGAGGCAUCAUACUCUGGGGGUUCCAGUCCUAUCUGGCUGGAGGGUCCCUAAAGUGGAGCUAAGGAACCCUUGCUUGACACAUGCCACAAGGUACCCAAGGGUUCUCUCUUGUCCCCUAUGCUUUGCAGUCUGCAAUUGACGGAGGUGAAUUUGCAAAAAAAAAA